rnacentral:rRNA from 1 species
CAGGAGCAUACAGGCCCGGUGAGCGUCGGCCCGUCGGUGGACCGAGGAAGACCGUCGCGGAGCGGCGUCGACCGUUCGUCCUGUGUUGGCGUUCGACUCGGGGGGACUGGUUCCAGUGCCCUCGGACCGCGCCGGCGCACCGGCGGGCGCGCACGGCGUCGCGCCUGGGGUCGGUGGCGAAACGGCCGGCAACCUGUCCGACCCGUCUUGAAACACGGACCAAGGAGUCUAACAUGUGCGCGAGUCGUUGGGCGCUACGAAACCCGAAGGCGCAAUGAAAGUGAAGGCCCGGUCUCCGGCCGGCCUGGGUGGGAUCCCGGCGGUCUCGGCCGUCGGGCGCACCACCGGCCCGUCUCGUUCGUCACGUCGAGGAGGCGGAGCAAGAGCGUACACGUUGGGACCCGAAAGAUGGUGAACUAUGCCCGAGUAGGACGAAGCCAGAGGAAACUCUGGUGGAGGUCCGCAGCGAUUCUGACGUGCAAAUCGAUCGUCAAACUUGGGUAUAGGGGCGAAAGACUAAUCGAACCAUCUAGUAGCUGGUUCCUGUCGAAGUUUCCCUCAGGAUAGCUGGCGCUCGUCGUGAGCAGUUUUAUCCGGUAAAGCGAAUGACUGGAGGCCUUGGG